rnacentral:misc_RNA from 1 species
CCUUUAAAUCUUCUAAAUCCAGGGUAACUGGAAAGAACGCGAGCAGAGAAACGCCGUUCGAUAUAUCGCCACGAAACUCGAGCAUAUUGGUGUUUCGUUUUGGCAGGAAGCAACGGCCGAUUGCCAACUUUCAGAAAUUGCUCGUUGCAAUGCUAUCGUCCUUUGCUAGUCGCUUCAAUCUUGAAAGGAAGAGAUAUCGUGGCCCAGUGAAUAAUGACUUUUAAUCGACGUUAUUGAUAAAAGGACUGUAUUUUGUUGCAAACUUUUUUCAAAAAUUACGACGUAUAAUUAGACUGCGGAUGUUUACGUGCUUAAAAUAUAGAGGAUUCACUAGUAUCGGUGUAUUUACAUUAGCAGUAAUGCUGUUGAAACAAGUUAUAAUCUUGCGCCAUAAUCAGACUAUGGAUAUUUAUACAUUUAUGGAAACUUUGCAGAAGCAAAAAUUUGCAGAAUGUACGUAUCAUAAAAAAAUAUGUAAGGUAUCAAAAUCAAAGCAUACGUUGUAAUAUUUAGUAGAUGAGACACAUCUCUAUUGAAAUUGCAUUUUUUAAGUAAUAUUAUUUUUGUUAAUAUAUUUAAUAGAAGUUAGUGAUAUUAUUAUCAUUUUGCUUAAAAAUCUGAAGUUUGCUAAUAAUAUUAGUGGUUUAACCUGUGCUUUGUGCAAUAGUAACAACUGUUUCUGUAACAAGAUUCUAUAAGCUGCAACAAUUUUAGGAGUAUAACAUUCUGUUACAUAAAUAAUUUCUAGAAUCUUACAAGUUAGAAGUUAAACUAUUAAUAUUACCCUAAUAAUGAAUAUUACAUCAAGAUGAUUCUGCAACCUUUGAAUUGUCGUGGCUUAUAGAAUUUUUGUACAAGUAAUUGUUACGAUUAUGCAAGUUACAAGCAAU